UCCUACUUUGUCCUUGGUCCCCUAGGAGUUGUUGUUUUUGCUUUUGUUUUGUUUUGGUUUAGACUUUGUGACUGCCAUAUUAGUGGUGGGGUAAAGGGGUGAGAAGGAAAGAUCUGUCAACAAUGACUUAGAGACGUGGUUUUUCUCUUUCCUGCCAGCACAACCAGCUCCACAGCCAGCAGCUGCGACACAGAGUUCACAAAAGAAGAUGAGCAAAGGCUGAAGGAUUACAUCCAGCAGCUCAAGAAUGACAGGGCUGCAGUGAAGCUGACCAUGUUAGAACUGGAGAGCAUUCAUAUAGACCCGCUCAGCUAUGAUGUCAAGCCGAGGGGAGACAGCCAGAGACUGGACCUGGAGAACGCCGUGCUGAUGCAGGAGCUGAUGGCCAUGAAGGAGGAGAUGGCAGAGCUGAAGGCACAGCUAUACCUACUGGAGAAAGAGAAAAAGGCUCUGGAGCUGAAGCUGAGUACGCGGGAGGCGCAGGAGCAGGCCUACCUGGUACACAUCGAGCACCUCAAGUCUGAGGUGGAGGAGCAGAAGGAGCAGCGCAUGCGGUCCCUCAGCUCCACCAGCAGCAGCAGCAAAGAAAAGCCCAGCAAGGAGUGUGCCGAUGCCGCCUCUCCAGCCCUGUCACUGGCUGAACUAAGAACAACGUGCAGCGAGAGUGAGCUGGCUGCAGAGUUCACCAAUGCCAUCCGCCGAGAAAAGAAGUUGAAGACCAGAGUUCAAGAGCUGGUGAGUGCCUUGGAAAGACUGACCAAGAGCAGUGAAAUCCGACAUCAACAAUCAGCAGAGUUUGUUAAUGAUCUAAAGCGGGCCAACAGCAACCUGGUAGCUGCCUAUGAGAAAGCAAAGAAGAAACAUCAAAACAAGCUGAAGAAGUUGGAGUCUCAGAUGAUGGCCAUGGUGGAGAGACAUGAGACCCAAGUGAGGAUGCUCAAGCAAAGAAUAGCUCUGCUGGAGGAGGAGAACUCCAGGCCGCACACCAAUGAAACUUCACUUUAAUUGGCACUCAGGCAUCAAAGUUCUGACCCUCUGGGUUUAACUCUAGCAGUUUCAAAGCUCACAGUGGAAAACACAGGAGACAAGGGCUCCAAGGACAGAGUACCUGUUGGGAGGAGGAAGAGAAAAGGGAAGGGUGGCAGCUUGCCUUGGGAAAUAUCCUCCCUUGAGCAAAUCUGGAAUGUGUAUGGCUUUCUCUUGUGAUUGAACAGGCAUCAAAAUGGACAGUUUUCCUAUCUAUCAACAGUGAAAAAAUGUGGCCCAAGCAGGAAUAACAUCCUAUCUGCUGACCUCUGCCUCCACUCUUGCUUCAGGUAAAUUCAGAGAAUACACACUUAGCCCUGAUGUUCCUCCAGAAAGGCCAGGCCUGAACUCUUCUGUCAUGGGCUCCAGCAGUAUUCAUCCUACCUGGCCUUAAUCUGAGUUUAUACUUCAAAGUAUGUGAUGAGUAGGUGAAAGCUAUUUGCCAGGCAGAAGUGUCACACUGAUAAAUAUGUAGAAUAAAGAAGCUAUAUAAUAGUUGAUUUCCUUAUAAUUUUCAAAUACUCCUUAAGAAACAAUUUUGAUUGAAGGUGAAGUAGCAGGUGCUUGGUUAUGCUAAUUGUGGGAGCUAGUGAACUGCACAGAAUGAUUGCAGGUGCCUAGAAAAUUGUCCUUUUUGCAAAACCUGGCUUCUACAUGAAUUUUUCUCUAAAUAGGGGCUGGUUUAUGUUAACAUCUCCAUUGAGGGGUAAAUGAUUUUGAUUUUAAUCAAAAGAGGUUUAAAACCUUUUCAUGUUGUUUUUGCCUGUUCCUUCAGUGGUUGCCCCUUUUAGACAGUUUCCCUCUCUGUCUGGCUCAUUGGAGAGAUGAGUGCAGAAGGACCAAAUUCAUAAUUCCCUUGGAGUGUACCUCCUAUAGAGUUGAGGCAAACAAAAUCAACUAGCACGACAGAAAUCACAGGUAAAAGAGACUUCUGUUGCAUGGUGACCUGCUACUGAUGUGUGAAGCCUCCCAGCUAGACCUGAUACUUUGCCCAACCCCUGUGUAUUAGCUGCCAAAGCUGCCCUGAACUUGUGGGCAUUGAGAAACAUUCCUUUCUGAACUUGUGAGCUCAGACAGUUGAGAUUAAUCUCGGUGUCCCUGCCUCCGAUGCUCUAGGUCCAGAUGUACACUACAUGUCUUAUCAUUGCCUGUCUUAUAUUCACUCUCAUCUACUGCUGUCAAGAUUCUGAAGUUAACAUGCUGCCUGAAACUGGAAUGUUAGGUUUAACUGGCACUUAAUUUUUUUUUUUAACCAAACUGCUUAAUUCUCCAGAUGCAUGUCCUUUUUAGUAAAUCUUCUUCUGAGCCCGCAACAAUAUUUUAUAGAGAUCUCUAAGAACUCUAAAUUAAAACCUUGUUACUCUAUUCCAGAAUAGCAGUCUAAGUUAGAGCCUAAGGCUUUUUCCCUAAAAACUGGUAGGAUCAGGGUAGUAAGGAUUACCACUCUACAGAUAAUGUGAAACUAUUAAUCAGUUCCUACACUACCUUAAAUUUAAAAAAUGCCCCAGAGCUGCUUAUUUCCUUCUAAAGAGGUUUCCCAUGAACCAUAAAAUUUAUACUGCAAUUAUUUUUGAAUUCUGUCAAUUACCUAAGAGUUGAGGGUAUUGUGCUCAUGUUUUAAAUGAACUGAUGAGAAAGACAUCAAGACUACAAAAAAACAAAACAAAAAAAACCUCACCCCGACUUUUAUUAUUGACAUCUGAAGAUGUAUUUUCCUCCAUUAAGCUCUGGAUGAUUUGAUAAUGCCUAAUUCAGAGUACAUCCCACUCAUUUUAUGAACUGUUUUAAGUGAAAAUAUUAUGCCUGCUAAAUUUACAGCUUUACUUCUAGGUACAGCAAAUAGAAAUAUGGUUAUAAAGUGUUUGGAACCAGAGAGACUUCUGAUUUUUUUUUUUUUUCUUUUUGGCGCAGGGGGAGGGGGUAUAAGAGUAUAAGUAACAUUUUUUCUGCAAUACAUAACAGCUUUGUAGAACAGUAUGUAAAACUUAGGGAGAAAAGAUUUUUUCAUUCAUCCAAUGGAACAACCUAUCUAGACAAGACUAAUAAUGCUUGCUCCAAAAAAAAAAA